UACGUAGGGGGCAAGCGUUGUCCGGAAUCAUUGGGCGUAAAGCGCGCGUAGGCGGCUCGAUCAGUCUGCUGUGAAAGUCAAAGGCUCAACCUUUGAAUGCCGGUGGAUACUGUCGAGCUAGAGUCCGGAAGAGGCGAGUGGAAUUCCUGGUGUAGCGGUGGAAUGCGCAGAUAUCAGGAGGAACACCAACGGCGAAGGCAGCUCGCUGGGACGGUACUGACGCUGAGACGCGAAAGCGUGGGGGAGCGAACAGG
rnacentral:rRNA from 1 species